rnacentral:rRNA from 1 species
CCUACGGGUGGCAGCAGUGAGGAAUAUUGGUCAAUGGACGAGAGUCUGAACCAGCCAAGUAGCGUGAAGGAUGACUGCCCUAUGGGUUGUAAACUUCUUUUAUAUGGGAAUAAAAUGUUCCACGUGUGGGAUUUUGUAUGUACCAUAUGAAUAAGGAUCGGCUAACUCCGUGCCAGCAGCCGCGGUAAUACGGAGGAUCCGAGCGUUAUCCGGAUUUAUUGGGUUUAAAGAGAGCGUAGGUGGAUUGUUAAGUCAGUUGUGAAAGUUUGCGGCUCAACCGUAAAAUUGCAGUUGAAACUGGCAGUCUUGAGUACAGUAGAGGUGGGCGGAAUUCGUGGUGUAGCGGUGAAAUGCUUAGAUAUCACGAAGAACUCCGAUUGCGAAGGCAGUUCACUGGACUGCAACUGACACUGAGGCUCGAAAGUGUGGGUAUCAAACAGGAUUAGAUACCCGUGUAGUC